rnacentral:rRNA from 1 species
GUGCAGCAGUCGAGAAACCUCCGCAAUGCGGGAAACCGCGACGGGGUCAGCCGGAGUGCUCGCGCAUUGCGCGGGCUGUCGGGGUGCCUAAAAGCACCCCAUAGCAAGGGCCGGGCAAGGCCGGUGGCAGCCGCCGCGGUAAUACCAGCUCUCCGAGUGGUGGGGACGCUUAUUGGGCCUAAAGCAUCCGUAGCCGGUCUGGCAAGUCCCUUGUUAAAUCCAACGAUUCAAUCGUUGGACUGCAAGGGAUACUGCCAGACUAGGGGGCGGGAGAGGCCGACGGUAUUCCCGGGGUAGGGGUGAAAUCCUAUAAUCCCGGGAGGACCACCAGUGGCGAAGGCUGUCGGCUAGAACGCGCCCGACGGUGAGGGAUGAAAGCUGGGGGAGCGAACCGGAUUAGAUACCCGUGUAGU